UACAUUUGCUUCGCUUUUGGUUCUCUAUGUAAGUCGCAUAAAGAUUAAAAGGGAAUCUGGUGUAAAUCCGGAACUGUCCCGCAGCUGUAAGCUCUUUAUACCAAACCCAAUCUAUAGUCACUGUUCUGUUCAGAGAAUGGGAAGGCGGGGCAAGGAGAGCAAGUCAGAAUACCUGCCUCUAGCUUUAUAAUUCA
rnacentral:ncRNA from 2 species